AGAGUUUGAUCCUGGCUCAGGAUGAACGCUAGCGGCAGGCUUAACACAUGCAAGUCGAGGGGCAGCGCGGAGUAGCAAUACUCUGGCGGCGACCGGCGGAAGGGUGCGUAACACGUGAGCGACUUGCCCGUCACAGGGAGAUAACCGCUGGAAACGGCGACUAAUAUCCCAUAUGAUGACGAUCUGCAUGGAUUGUCAUUGAAAGAUUCAUCGGUGGCGGAUAGGCUCGCGGGGCAUUAGCUAGACGGCGGGGCAACGGCCCACCGUGGCGACGAUGCCUAGGGGUUCUGAGAGGAAGACCCCCCACACUGGGACUGAGACACGGCCCAGACUCCUACGGGAGGCAGCAGUGAGGAAUAUUGGUCAAUGGGCGGAAGCCUGAACCAGCCAUGCCGCGUGAAGGACUAAGGCCCUAUGGGUCGUAAACUUCUUUAGACGCAGAGCAAUAAGGGUCUCGUGAGAUCCGAUGAGAGUAUGCGUAGAAUAAGCAUCGGCUAACUCCGUGCCAGCAGCCGCGGUAAUACGGGGGAUGCGAGCGUUAUCCGGAUUUAUUGGGUUUAAAGGGUGCGUAGGCGGAAGUGCAAGUCAGCGGUGAAAUCCCCGCGCUCAACGCGGGAGUUGCCGUUGAUACUGUACAUCUGGAAUGCUCUUGCCGUGGGAGGAAUGAGUAGUGUAGC
rnacentral:rRNA from 1 species